GAGGGUCUAGCUCAGUGGUAGAGUGUGUGCCUAGCAAGCACAAGGUCCUGGAUUCAGUCCCCAGUACCUCUA
rnacentral:tRNA from 1 species